rnacentral:rRNA from 1 species
AGGAGUUAGUCAAAAGGGGUACAGCUCUUUUGAUAAAAGAAACAACUUUAGUAGGUGAAACAGGAUCAUAUCAACCAAGGACUAAGAUUUAAGUGGGCCUAAAAGCAGCCAUCUUUAAAGAAAGCGUUAUAGCUCUAACUAGUUCUUCCCCCUUAUAUACUGAUAUUAAUUCUCCCCUCCCCUACUACCAUACCAGGCUAUCUUAUGCCCCCAUAAGAAUAAUUAUGCUAAAAUGAGUAAUAAGAAGAAACAUUUCUUCUCCUAGCAUACGUGUAAGUCGAACCGGAUUCUCCACCGACUAUUAUCCGACCCCAACCCCAGAGGGCCUUAAGUUAAAAAAACAAGAAAACCGCUUAAUCAAAAUCGUUAAUCUCACACAAGAAUGCACCAAGGAAAGACUAAAAGGGGAGGAAGGAACUCGGCAAACCCAAGCCUCGCCUGUUUACCAAAAACAUCGCCUCUUGACCUAUUUAUAUAAGAGGUCUCGCCUGCCCAGUGACUAAAUGUUUAACGGCCGUGGUAUCUUAACCAUGCGAAGGUAGCGUAAUCACUUGUCUUUUAAAUGAAGACCUGUAUGAAUGGCAAAACGAGGGCUUAACUGUCUCCCUUCCCCAGUCAAUGAAAUUGACCUCCCCGUGCAGAGGCGGGGAUAGAUAUAUAAGACGAGAAGACCCUGUGGAGCUUUAGACUUAAAAUAACCACGUUAAAUAAACUCCUACAUGAGAAAAAACUUAGUGAGCUUUAUUUAAAUGUCUUUGGUUGGGGUGACCGCGGGGCAAAACACAGCCCCCAUGAAGACAGGGGAAAUAUCCCUAACACCAAGAGUUACCUCUCUAAGCAACAAAAUAUUUGACUUUAAAAAUGAUCCGGCUCAACCGAUUAACGAACCCAGUUACCCCAGGGAUAACAGCGCAAUCCCCUCCCAGAGCCCUUAUCGACGAGGGGGUUUACGACCUCGAUGUUGGAUCAGGACAUCCUAAUGGUGCAGCCGCUA